rnacentral:lncRNA from 1 species
ACACUCUAAUUAGCUAGUUAAUUGAAAAUCAGCGUUUUUCUUGUUUAAUCCUUCUGAAUUGAUCUCCAAUAAUGGGAUCUAUAUUAUUUAGCAUUAGUCUUCCUAUUAUCUUUCUUAUGUCGUAUGUUUCUAUCAUUAUUCGUCUAAACUCUAAACAAUCAUUUAGCCCGUUGUACUCAACUUUUAAACACUAACAGUGGUAUGGUGUUUCUGUUCAACCUUUUAUUUAAAUGACCAUUUUUAUCUGUUUAAGUGAUCGUUUUGUCUAAGACUAAACGAUAUGUAACUGAUUGUUUGUCUUUUAAACACUAACGGUGGUACUAAUUAAUUUUGCCCCCGUUUAACUACUUGUUUUUAUUGUGAUUCUUUUUCUGGGCAAAGAAAUAGAAUGAUCAAGUGAAGGUUAGAGGCCUGAGACUAGUUAAAUUUCUCUUCUCUUUUUUAUAUUUUUUCUGUUUUUUUGCAUCGCAACACAAACGUUUAUUUUAGUGCCAUGUACACCUUUGUCAUAUAAUAUUUUGAUACAUAUGAUUGUUUUUGGUUUGCACGGCCCCUUCUAUAUUUAAAUCCUGGCUCCGUCCCUGUACCCAGGGGCGGGUGCCCCUACCAGGUGGGGCGGCCACCCGGGGCUCUCGACCAAUCAAUAUUUUAACCUUGACUACCAAACUACAUUUUACAUAAUGUUUCACAUCACAAAUUAGAUAAAUUGUACUACAACCUAUCUUGUCCAUUUUGCUAGGUUUUCUUCUACCUCUCUAUAGUCUGUUGUCACCUUCUAGUUGUAUUCACUAAACUAUCAAAUAUGCAUUAGUUUUUGUCAAUGCAGCAUAGGGUUUAAUAAUUAAAAGUACAACUAUUCUGAUAUUUCCUUGGUCCUUGUUGUUUUAGGAUAAUAUGGAAGCUUUGAGGGCACAACCUGUUGCUGAAGGUGAGAUAGUAGCAUCUAGCGUGCAGGUUAUGUCCCAGGUGCUCUCCCAGAAUAGCUCAAGCAUUUUCCUGAAGAGUGUUGGCGUAAAACCAGUAGCAUCCUCCAAAUCAUCAUC